AGCGGCGGAUGGGUGAGUAACACGUGGGGAACCUGCCCCUAAGUCUGGGAUACCAUUUGGAAACAGGUGCUAAUACCGGAUAAUAAAGCAGAUCGCAUGAUCAGCUUUUGAAAGGCGGCGUAAGCUGUCGCUAAGGGAUGGCCCCGCGGUGCAUUAGCUAGUUGGUAAGGUAACGGCUUACCAAGGCGACGAUGCAUAGCCGAGUUGAGAGACUGAUCGGCCACAUUGGGACUGAGACACGGCCCAAACUCCUACGGGAGGCAGCAGUAGGGAAUCUUCCACAAUGGACGCAAGUCUGAUGGAGCAACGCCGCGUGAGUGAAGAAGGUUUUCGGAUCGUAAAGCUCUGUUGUUGGUGAAGAAGGAUAGAGGUAGUAACUGGCCUUUAUUUGACGGUAAUCAACCAGAAAGUCACGGCUAACUACGUGCCAGCAGCCGCGGUAAUACGUAGGUGGCAAGCGUUGUCCGGAUUUAUUGGGCGUAAAGCGAGCGCAGGCGGAAAAAUAAGUCUAAUGUGAAAGCCCUCGGCUUAACCGAGGAACUGCAUCGGAAACUGUUUUUCUUGAGUGCAGAAGAGGAGAGUGGAACUCCAUGUGUAGCGGUGGAAUGCGUAGAUAUAUGGAAGAACACCAGUGGCGAAGGCGGCUCUCUGGUCUGCAACUGACGCUGAGGCUCGAAAGCAAGGGUAGCGAACAGGAUUAGAUACCCUGGUAGUCCAUGCCGUAAACGAUGAGUGCUAAGUGU
rnacentral:rRNA from 1 species